CAGUUUACCUGUCUAUGAGAU
rnacentral:miRNA from 1 species